AUAUUACUGUGCCUGCUUUCGAGUGACCUGGAAAAUGUGUAUUAUGAAUAAUAUUAUGAUAUGUUUUAACAUCCAACAACUGCAAUAGUACUGUAUAUGUUUUGUAAUUUUGCACCUAUCACAAUUCGGAGGAAUACGCAUUGUAAUUGUCUCAGCUUGUUACGUACUAUUAAUCACUAACGUUUUGACUUCGUAUUUGGAUUUGACCUAUUAAAUUUCGAUUAAUCAAUAAAGUACGUUAUAAAAUCCCGCUCAAGAUGACCGUCAACUGGAAGUCAGCCUUACUCGCAACCCUGCUUUUCGCUGGAUUAGAAACAGGUCACACCAUCAAAUGCUAUGACGACUGUAUCUACGCUUCCGGUGACGUGCCUGCCGCUGGUUACAAAGAUAUCACGGCGAAUUGUCUCAACACCAAGCCGAAGGACUGCGACCCGAAAGUCAACAACUGCUACCGUGAAACCAUCAAGUUUACCACCCCCAACAAAUUCGAAAUUAACCGGCAAGACUGUGGAAGGGAAACACUAACUCCCGAAAACAUGAAGUGUGCUCCCAUGACUGCUGGUCCAGCGGCGAGCGCUACACAAUGCAACUGCGCUGGCGAUCUCUGCAACCGCACAACCAGGACAACCGACACUGGUUGCAUGCUUUAAUGCGUAAAAAGCUACAUACUUCGGCAUUCUUCGCGUUCCGGACGUUUUCACAAUAUGGGUUCACUUACCGGUCACCAGAAGCACGGUAUCCUCUGCGUUCUUCCACAUUAGAAAACCUGAUAAUUUUUUAUUAAUCUCGAGUAAGUAGCACGUAAUGAAUUUUCGAAAAGUUGUGGCCAUGUGCAACUUCACUGCGAAUGCCGUGUCGCUGGUGUCCAGUACGCGAAUCCACAUUGUGAAAAUAUAUGGAAUGCAAAAAACGUUGAGUUGAUUCUCGACUUUUCCUGGUACUCUCGGCUGUCUGCGGUGCAGUUCGCUUAUUGAAGGGGUUCUGAUGGAUGGCGAAACCAACGACCUUUGCAGCUGCACCAUGAGCGAAAUUUCAAAGAAAAAACAAAAGGGGGUGGAUAACAAUUUUUAGCAGUAUCUGCUUGUUCCUUAUAACAUGAGUUUCCAUGUAUUUUUUUGCCCAUAACUAUUUUAUCUGAUACAGGUUUCCGAUAUACUUAAUGGAAUUUUGAUAGUGUUACUUGCAUUUCUUCGUGCGCUAUUGUACAUCCGUGUAGAUAAAUUUUAUAUCUGU